rnacentral:rRNA from 1 species
GAUGAACGCUAGCUACAGGCUUAACACAUGCAAGUCGAGGGGAAACGGCAUUUAGUGCUUGCACUGAAUGGACGUCGACCGGCGCACGGGUGAGUAACGCGUAUCCAACCUACCCAUUACUGUGUGAUAACCUGCCGAAAGGCAGACUAAUACCGCAUAGUCUUCGAUGACGGCAUCAGAUUUGAAGUAAAGAUUUAUCGGUAAUGGAUGGGGAUGCGUCUGAUUAGCUUGUUGGCGGGGUAACGGCCCACCAAGGCGACGAUCAGUAGGGGUUCUGAGAGGAAGGUCCCCCACAUUGGAACUGAGACACGGUCCAAACUCCUACGGGAGGCAGCAGUGAGGAAUAUUGGUCAAUGGACGAGAGUCUGAACCAGCCAAGUAGCGUGCAGGAUGACGGCCCUAUGGGUUGUAAACUGCUUUUGUGUGGGGAUAAAGUCAAUCACGUGUGAUUGUUUGCAGGUACCAUACGAAUAAGGACCGGCUAAUUCCGUGCCAGCAGCCGCGGUAAUACGGAAGGUCCGGGCGUUAUCCGGAUUUAUUGGGUUUAAAGGGAGCGUAGGCCGGAGAUUAAGUGUGUUGUGAAAUGUAGACGCUCAACGUCUGACUUGCAGCGCAUACUGGUUUCCUUGAGUACGCACAACGUUGGCGGAAUUCGUCGUGUAGCGGUGAAAUGCUUAGAUAUGACGAAGAACUCCGAUUGCGAAGGCAGCUGACGGGAGCGCAACUGACGCUUAAGCUCGAAGGUGCGGGUAUCGAACAGG